UACAGAGGGUGCUAGCGUUGUUCGGAAUCAUUGGGCGUAAAGGGCGUGUAGGCGGUUUGUUAAGUCAUGUGUGAAAUCCCUCGGCUCAACCGGGGAACGACGCAUGAAACUGGCAAGCUAGAGUACCAAAGAGGGGGGUGGAAUUCCCGGUGUAGCGGUGAAAUGCGUAGAUAUCAGGAAGAACACCCGUGGCUAAGGCGGUUCUCUAGUACGGUACUGACGCUGAGACGCGAAAGCGUGGGGAGCGAACAGG
rnacentral:rRNA from 1 species